rnacentral:sRNA from 1 species
GGCUCUCCUUCGGAAAGAUGUCGGACACGGCAGUAGCUGACACCCGGCGCCUUAACUCGAAGCCGCAGGACCUGACCGACGCUUACGGGCCGCCAAGUAACUUCCUGGAGAUCGACAUCUUUAAUCCUCAGACGGUGGGCGUGGGACGCGCGCGCUUCACCACCUAUGAGGUUCGCAUGCGGACAAACCUACCUAUCUUCAAGCUAAAGGAGUCCUGCGUACGGCGGCGCUACAGUGACUUUGAGUGGCUGAAAAAUGAGCUGGAGAGAGAUAGCAAGCUUGUUGCUUUCCAUGGCAGUAAUCCUCCUAGAGUCCAAGCAGUCUGUUGUAUGGAGCAGGGUGUGUGGGUUUUCUGGGCCCAUCAUUAUGGCUGCUUCAGAGUCAGAAGAAAGCCAUAGGGCAGUAGGGGAUCUCCUAUUGCCUAGCCCCUCUCCCUUUGUGGCUCUCACUCUAGCUGCCUAUUUUUGUUCAUCAGCUGGUGAGUCAGUAUGGGCCAGCAGUUCUCCCUCCCUAAGCCCUUGCUACUUUAUGGGUUAGCUUUGCAGGUUUGGUGGCUUGAGGGGUGGGGGCAACUUACCACUGCCAGGUAACUCCCUGAAGGGUGGGAGUGGAUUAUCUUCUAGGCUCUUCCCCACGGUAGGGAAGGGCAUCAACACUGUCUUCCUUCCGUUCUCCUUUCCCCCAUCCCAUUUAGUGCUGCCACAGGGCAGAAGCACACAAACCAACCACACAGUCUCUGACUUCUAAGCACUUUGAGCUGUUGAAUGGGGCUCAGGGGCAAGAGUUUUUGUUGCCCUCCCCGGCGUGGUCACAGGGUUAUUGAACUGCCUGCACUUGUUUCUCAUGCAACUCCAGCAUU